AGGACAAGAAUGAGGAAGAGAUUUGACCCAGAAUAAAGAAGCAGAAGGUGCAGCUUCACACCAUGCGACGCAGGCCCCACAGCCACGUUCCUCUCAAGGCUCAAAAUCAGGGCCAUGUGCCAAGCUGUACAGAACUGACGGGGCAUAGGCCGAACCUGGAGCCACAUGAAGGAAGUGACGUGGUGACCUUGGUCAGGCUACACAGCUGCAUUGUCCGUUAAUGGGAUUCUGGACUUUAUACCAAGGUUCUCCACGUUGCACAAAGAUCACUACACCUUCCAAAACCCUGCUCAGGACGUCUUAGUCAUGCAUUCACAAUGGGAACUGGAAGUAAAAAGCAUUGAGACUGUUCCACUGACAAUUGUUUUACUUCUUUUUUAUCUUCAUUAGCAGGCAUCAGGCAACUUUAACCAACCUUCUAGGCAGUUGUCAGUGAUCAUUGUCAUAUUAAAGUGCAUGUUAUAGAUUAUAAAUUACUUUCAUGUUAUUUUUCCUUUAUCUUACACUUACUUACAGCAUUAUGUUGAUUUUUAAACUAUAUGGAAAGGGAAGUUACAUGAGCUAUAAAUUCCCCAUUACAUGGUCAAGCCGCAUUACAAAAGACUUGCUAUAUUA
rnacentral:lncRNA from 10 species